rnacentral:rRNA from 1 species
CCUACGGGGGGCAGCAGUGGGGAAUAUUGCACAAUGGGGGAAACCCUGAUGCAGCGACGCCGCGUGAGUGAAGAAGUAAUUCGUUAUGUAAAGCUCUAUCAGCAGGGAAGAAAAUGACGGUACCUGAGCAAGAAGCCCCGGCUAACUACGUGCCAGCAGCCGCGGUAAUACGUAGGGGGCAAGCGUUAUCCGGAUUUACUGGGUGUAAAGGGAGCGUAGACGGCAGCGCAAGUCUGGAGUGAAAGCCCGGGGCCCAACCCCGGGACUGCUCUUGGAACUGCGUGGCUGGAGUGCA